rnacentral:rRNA from 1 species
CCUACGGGUGGCAGCAGUGAGGAAUAUUGGUCAAUGGACGAGAGUCUGAACCAGCCAAGUAGCGUGAAGGAUGACUGCCCUAUGGGUUGUAAACUUCUUUUAUCUGGGAAUAAAAUGUUCCACGUGUGGGAUUUUGUAUGUACCAUAUGAAUAAGGAUCGGCUAACUCCGUGCCAACAGUCGCGGGAAUAAGGAGGAUCCGAGCGUUAUCCGGAUUUAUUGGGUUUAAAGGGGGCGUAGGUGGAUUGUUAAGUCAAUUGAGAAAGUUUGGGGAUCAAACGUAAAAUUGCAGUUGAAACUGGCAGUGUUGAGUAGAAUAGAGGUGGGCGGAAUUCGUGGUGUAGCGGUGAAAUGCUUAGAUAUCACGAAGAACUCCGAUUGCGAAGGCAGUUCACUGGACUGCAACUGACACUGAGGCUCGAAAGUGUGGGUAUCAAACAGGAUUAGAUACCCCUGUAGUC